UCGGGAAUUUUGGGCAAUGGGCGAAAGCCUGACCCAGCAACGCCGCGUGAAGGAUGAAGUAUUUCGGUAUGUAAACUUCGAAAGAAUAGGAAGAAUAAAUGACGGUACUAUUUAUAAGCUCCGGCUAACUACGUGCCAGCAGCCGCGGUAAUACGUAGGGAGCAAGCGUUGUUCGGAUUUACUGGGCGUAAAGGGCGCGUAGGCGGCGCGGUAAGUCACUUGUGAAAUCUCUGAGCUUAACUCAGAACGGCCAAGUGAUACUGCUGUGCUAGAAUGCGGAAGAGGCAACCGGAAUUCUUGGUGUAGCGGUGAAAUGCGUAGAUAUCAAGAGGAACACCUGAGGCGAAGGCGGGUUGCUGGGCCGACACUGACGCUGAUGCGCGAAAGCCAGGGGAGCAAACG
rnacentral:rRNA from 1 species